AAGCUGGAGGAUCUGUCACCGCAGAUGCUCAUCGACUGCGACAAAGCUAACCUUGGUUGCAGGUGUGGCGAGUCGUGGCGAGCCUUGGAUUUCAUAAAAAAGAACCGUAUAGCGACAGACAGGGCUUACCCGUACGACGGCAUUGAGCGUCGGUGCCACAUGAGGUCUGAUGGCCUUUCCCGCUUUGCUUCCAUAGAACAUAGAAGGGUUCCAUGUAGUAUACAGCGGCGAGAGGGCCUUGAUGGUGGCGGUGGCGGUCCAGGUGUCCAGCCCGUCAUAGUGGAAAUCGGGCUCGGCAUAUAUUUCCACUAUUACAGUGAGGACAUUGGCGUGUACACUGGUCCGUGCAACAACACCAUCACCCACGCCGUGGUCGGCUAUGGCACGGACGCAUUUCUACGAAGAUGCUGGAUCUUCAAGAACUCAUGGGGCACCAAAUGGGGUCAUGGAGGGUACAUGUACAUGGCACGCGAUGUGGGAGGCCCUCAGGGCCUAUGCGCCAUCCUAGCCUUCCCGAUCGUUCCGGUGUGGAGACCUAAGGUCUCGGCCAAUCCCAGCGAUAUC
rnacentral:rRNA from 1 species